rnacentral:rRNA from 1 species
UACAUGGGGUGCAAACGUUGCUCGGAAUUAUUGGGCGUAAAGCGCACGUAGGCGGUUUGUUAAGUCGGAUGUGAAAUCCCUCGGCUCAACUGAGGAAGUGCAUCCGAAACUAGCAGGCUUGAGUACUAAAGAGGGUCGCGGAAUUCCCGGUGUAGAGGUGAAAUUCGUAGAUAUCGGGAGGAACACCGGUGGCGAAGGCGGCGACCUGGGUAGAUACUGACGCUGAGGUGCGAAAGCGUGGGGAGCAAACAGG